rnacentral:rRNA from 1 species
UCGGGAAUUUUGCCCAAUGGACGAAAGUCUGAGGCAGCAACUCCGCGUGAGGGACGAAGGCUCUAGGGUCGUAAACCUCUUUUCUCAGGGAAGAUCCAAGACGGUACCUGAGGAAUAAGCGACGGCUAACUACGUGCCAGCAGCCGCGGUAAUACGUAGGUCGCAAGCGUUGUCCGGAUUUACUGGGCGUAAAGAGCGCGCAGGCGGCUGGUCAAGUCCGAUGUGAAAUCUCCCGGCUCAACUGGGAAACUGCAUCGGAAACUGAUCGGCUUGAAGGUGGGAGAGGGUAGUGGAAUUCCCGGUGUAGUGGUGAAAUGCGUAGAUAUCGGGAGGAACACCAGUGGCGAAGGCGACUACCUGGCCCAUUCUUGACGCUGAGGCGCGAAAGCUAGGGGAGCGAACGAG